UAACACGUAGGUAACCUGCCCAUGUGUCCGGGAUAACUGCUGGAAACGGUAGCUAAAACCGGAUAGGUAUACAGAGUGCAUGCUCAGUAUAUUAAAGCGCCCUUCAAGGCGUGAACAUGGAUGGACCUGCGGCGCAUUAGCUAGUUGGUGAGGUAACGGCCCACCAAGGCGAUGAUGCGUAGCCGGCCUGAGAGGGUAAACGGCCACAUUGGGACUGAGACACGGCCCAA
rnacentral:rRNA from 1 species